GAGGAGGCUGUGUUUUUUCGUCUUGCACAGAUUCUUUCAGUGCUGUGAACACCUACUCUAUAGUACGACAGUGCCGCUGACCCAAAGUAGUUUUGGUACAUGGACACCACAUGGCUGCCUAUGGACUGGUUUCUCCUUCAGAGGAAUGCGUGCGGAGUUCCCAGACACCCAGUGCAAAGAGUCACAUGAUUGCUUCCUUGACUUGUGAGAAAGUGUGAAUAGAAGACUAUGAGAGGUUUAAGGUGUUCCAGUCCCAAACACAGUAUCCCAGUCUUCGUGACUUCUCUGGCAAGGACAAACCUGGGACAAGAUUGAACACGCAGCACAAAGGAGACUGAGGAGGACUCUGUCCCCAAGUAGAUACAAUUCAUCGUUAUUUAAACAGUCAUUCAGUUUUGGAUGUGUGAUGGCAGUAGGCCUAGGCAGA
rnacentral:lncRNA from 1 species